CCCACAUGCUAGCCUGGGAUACCCUGACUGUACUGGGUCAGACCAGCAGAGAUUCACCAACACUGCUGUCAUGGUGAGUCCAAGCCACUGUCACAGAGGUGGCACUUGGCACAGGCUUAGUUCAGUUCUAGGGUCAUUCUCAGCAAGCACUGGGGCGCUUGGAGAGCCCAGACAACUUGGGGCAGGCGUUAGAGCUGCCACUGCAGAACCCAUCUGGAAUCUGCCUUUAAAAAAAAGACCAUAAAAACCACCAAAACCUCCUCAAAACAACAACAAUAAUAAAAAGAAAAAUCAAAUCAAGCAAACAAACAAACAAAACUCCCACCAAAGCCCCCAAAAGAAAGCCAGAGGAACUGCCUCCAACUCUUGGGCCAGGAUAAAAGCCUUGGAGCAGCAGGAGAGCAGGAGUGCCCGUUCUCAGUGUCAGCACCACUUCUGUCCCCCUAGAGCAGCUGAGCAGCUUUGCUUCCUGCAGGGAUCCUCUGGAACUGUCUGGUUUUUGCCAUGCUAGACCACUUCUUGCAGGGUUGUAGCGGUUGUCCUGGUACACACAAGCCAAAAUUUACACCCCUUUACCUGCUUUUCUCUCAACCUCCUCUUUCAGCUGUUCUCCCCUCUCACUAUCUGCAUAUUCUGUUCUUCACUACUGUUCCUAACAGCUUCUAUCUAUGCCAAGUCCCAUCCUACUCAGCUCUCAUUAAACCUCCAACCUUGGGCAGAGCUUUUCUGCAUUGGUCUCCCAGACAGCUUUUGUCUCUUUGACUUCUAGGUUCUCUUUGUUUGUGCUUUUCUCUCUGGAUCUGGGAAUUAUUCUGCUUCAGUUGAUGCAUGGAUCCAGGCCCUGAUAUUUUGUUGAACUCUAUGAGAUCUCUUCUGUUUGGUGAGUGCAGACACUUAAGAGAUCCUAUAGCCUGUUCUUCCACUCUGAGGCAUGCGAUCAAAAGCCUGUGGAAAUUAUUCUGAAAAGUAGAAAUUGACUGGAGAUCCUAUCAACAUGAAAUACCCUGUGAAACCCGAGAAGCUCCUGAAAUGAUGGAUGACAUCAAGAGCCAAAAGAACAAAACGUCUGCAGAAGAGAUCCUUAAUCACUUUGUGAAGACUGUUGAUCUGUUGCCAACUUCUUAACUUAAAGCUUGUGUUGUCAUAUAUCUGACUUUAAAGUUUAAUGAACUAGUUGGUGAAAGAAAAUCUCUGUUAAAAAAUUCAGUCCUGUCCCUUCAGCUGCGGUGUGAGCAAUAGCACACUUCGUUGGAUGCUCUCAGCAAGUCCCUCAUUAAAACAGUAGCACCAAAUGAGAUCUAAUUUUCCUAAUAUUUGUAGACUACAAUGCAUGAAGGACAAUAUUUGAGAUUUUCUGUAGUCCUGAAGAAUAAGUUAAAAGAACAACAACAACAAAACUGUGAAAGCUUCUCCCCAGGUUGUAUGCUACACCUCUUUAAUUUACAAGUAUUUUACUACUGAAAUUGAGUAUCAAUGUUAUUUAAAUUUUUUAAAAAUUGCCCACUAGGUGGCUGUAAUUGUUAUGGCCAUGCUUAAUUUUUGGUAUCAAAUUCCCAGAUUUAAAAAAAUCAGUUCUUCCUUUUUGUUGAUCUUCAGCACAUGCUCUCAAUCUCCAAGGCUGUCUUUGUAACAAUAGGAUCCUCACCUUGGAAAUUUCAGCAGUUUAUAGGAAAUUCAGUUGUUCAAAAUGGCUGCUGCAAUGGGCUUGCAUAACAUAUAAGGCACAGAAAUCCACUGCCAUUUGAAGGAUAAAGUGGGAAUUCAUUUUUCAUUAUUGAAAGAAACACUUUUUUUCUGCUAUUACAAGGAAUGAUCAAAGACUCGGAGCGCUUUGGAAAGAGUUUCCAAUAGUGUGGCAUUUAAUGCAAGCAGCUUGUGAUUACUGCUGGAGCACAAAAACGUUGUAAAUCUGAUGAAGGAGAGCCCAGAAGGCAGGAUUGAGCAUCUCCUGUGUCCUAGAUUCAGCAGAGGAGCUGAUGUGAAAAAGAAGUGGGAUCUGCUGGAAGGAAAGCUCAAGUGAUGUAUCACAGGAAAUAAAAUUUCCCUGCUGUUGGCAUGGGCUGUAGCCCAGGAACAGCAGUGCAUCUGGGUAGAGGAUUUGCAAAGAGUUUGCUGGCUGUGGUUCCUCCUGCAGUUUUCCUGAAGAUCCACCCGAAGGGAAUAGGCUCAGGUGCAGAGGGAGACUUCCCCCAUUCAGCCAGUGAGCAGGGCACUGAUGCUUCCUCUGAACAGAAAUGCCUGAAAAUAAACAUCUACAUAUCUUUGGCAGCUCUUGACUGCAACAUAUGAAAAGGGAACUGCCUGUCUACAAGUUUUAAGCAGCAUGCAAAGACAUUUGUAGGAAUUCUCCAGGAAGGAUGAGCCAGUACGGAAUCACUGAGGCAUUGCUGCAGACCCUUGGGCAUGGUGCAUGGUCCUGCCAGCAGCACAUAAAUCUGCCUUUAAUGGGAAUGAAUUCAUUUCCAUUGAGGAAUUUGCCCACCAGUUUAGCACUGCACCAAAGGGGUUAUCAGGGGCCAUCAGGUUUCACAAGACUUAGUGCCACUUCAUUAGGUGUCUUUGAAAGAUAGUUUGUACAUCUGGAGUAAGAACAGUUCGGCUGGGGCAGUGCCUGUGGCUCACCUAAAAAAACCCCUCAGCACAGCACUGAGCUCUGUGUAUCAGGGGAGGGAAGGGGAGGGGAGGGAGCACCUCUGGCAAAGGAAGUGCUGUGAUAAGAUUUGUUUUAGAGAAAUUCAGGACUGCUGUAGUGAACUGGUUUAAUACCAGUCAAGUAGAUAAUUUCAGUUAUUGCUCGCUCUUCCAAAAAUGCCAUGCUGAGGUGCUCAGAGGGCCCAGCUGCAGUCAGACCAGAGCAUCCCCCUACUCCACCUGGAUUUCUUCCUAAUUCAGUAGAACUGAGCACUCUUUUUGUGUAGGCACAAGUAGAAUCAUGCCAGCACGUGAGUCCCAUGCGCUGUGGGUUUGUCAGCCAGAGGUUGGGCACAGUCCCUACCCCUCCGGAUCAGCUCCAGGCGUUGUGCCAGACCUACCUUGACUCAGCUGUCUUAUCAUGGUGGGUGUGGGGUCUGGUUUGCCUUCAAUCUUUUCCUGGCGCAUGCAGAUUCAGGUUACCUGGAUAUAUAAAUCAAGUUCAUUGUCAUGCUAGCUGAACACCUUAUAAAGGUAUGUUAAUCAAGAAAGAAUAAUGAGAUUUCAAAUUCCCCUAAGCUGUAGAUAAGGACAAAAUGCUCAAGCAAAAUAUCCCUCAUUCUAAAUGGUUCUUUACUUCUAAGUCUUCUCCAUCUACAAAACAGGGUUAAGUCAACACUGAGACAAAGCGAGGAAAAAAGUUGAGUACUCCUCAGGAAGAGGAACCUCUGUUUUACACUCUCAUCCUAUUCCCUUCAAAGACAUUCAUAUCAUCAUCCUGUGGAACAAUCUAAAUAAGUCCCUGGAACUCAAGACAUUUGUUUGAGAUUCUCUGACUUGCUGAUUUUUCUGUCUUUCUUUGUCUACAGUGAAUCUUGCUGAACAGGUUGAACCAAAAUUAUCUUCUUGCAAACAUUCUGCAAGUAGAUCAAUGCCAUAUUCUGUAUCAAACAUCCUGCCUAGAGCCCAUUUAAUAAAUGGGAUAUCUUUGCUAUGAAAUUACAAACCAGAACUUCAUGUGGCAUCAUACCCAUAUAGAUCUGAAAUAAUUUCACUCUCAGCAGAGUUUUCAGCAUUGCAAUAAGAGCAGUAUAAAUAGCCACAGUCUCUGAGCAUUGCAAAGAACAGGGAUUAAAGUCAGCAGCCACACUGCAGUCUUUGGCCUUUGAAGACUGUCUGGAGCAGAGUACAGAAGGUGCAGGGUACCUGGGGGUCCCAUUCAACUGUAAUGGGGUUGUAGAUGCCUUGUAUUUCUUGAUAAUCACUCUGGAGGGAUAUGAACAAGAAACAGACGUGUAGAAACCUGCAAGAUACUUUUGAAUAACAGAAGCUCUCUUGCAGAGAGGACAAGGCUGGUUCAAGACCACAGCACCUGCUCCUGCAUGGAGCAAAGUUCCCUCCUUGCUCCAUGUUGUCCCAGUGGAGCACAGCUCACCUGCUCAAAGGAAACUUCACACCACAGGGGUUUGCUGGGGAAACAACGAGUCACCCCUGAGAUAUCAGCACUGGAGAGAAAUAGAGGAAGAGAUGCAGUGAAUGCUCCUCACCUCAUGUGACUCACCCCAAAAAGGUGUUUGGGUAUUUGGUAUUUUUAAAGCUGACAGAGAGAGCAGGCUAAAUUAUGUACAAAGAAGAAAUUCUUCCCAGUGAGGUUUGUGAUGUCCUGGCAUGGAUUGCCCAGAGAAGCUGUGGCUGCCCCAUCCCUGGAAGUAUCCCAGGUCAGCUUGGAUGGGGCUUGGAGCAACAUGAUCUGAUGGAAGGUGCCCGUACCCAUGGCAGGGGGUUGGAACUGAAUGAGUGUUAAGGUCCCUCCCAGCCCAAGCCAUUUUAUGAGUCUGUUUGGAAGAGUGACACAUGUAAGAUGCUGAAAUACAUUCAGGUACCCCAGAGAGUCAUCUGAAUUGUGCUAGAGAUAUACAGCUCAGUCAGAGCCAGAGUAAACCAUGAAGGCUGAGAGCGACCCUGUUGGGUCAGAUGGCUGCUCACUUUCUCAGGCUGAGUUGUGCUCACUCCAGAGCCAGAACUCCCAUGGCCAGGGGAAGGCUCUGAACAACAAACCUGGCAUCAGAUGGGCCGUGGGGUGGGUCACACUCUUUCUGAGAAGGGACUGUCACCUUCAUUGGUCUUAUCUGAAAAGAAGCAUUUUGUGAGCCUGAACAAAAACGCUGGGGAGCGCUCAGCAGCGAAUUCUUUCACAUGCUGCCUUUUUGUUUUGUAUGAUUUCCAACGUUUCUGGCAAAAACAUUUCCUCUGACUGUUUUCCUUCUAGAAACAGCCUUCUUCCAGACAGGGCUUCUCUGCCACUAUUUAGCUGGGUAGACACAGGGCUAUUUAAAACACAGAGCUGGAACAUCAGCAAAGCACUUGUCUCAUUCCAGGACAAGCAGGGAAGGGGAGGGUGUGCAUCGCUGAGUGCAACCUUGUUCGUCCCUGGGAGGUUUGUGCCUGCAUCAUGCCAAUUUGUGUUGAAUUUAAGGCUUCUGGGGAUGAAGCCUGAUGAGAUUUUUUAGAAGGCACAAGUUCACAGCCUUGAGUAUGAUUUUUGGCUGCCAAGUCUCACAUACAUUGCAGUCAGAUGUUUAAUUAUUUACCAGGCUCUGUACAGUACGGUUCAAGCAGCAACCAUCAAAUCUGACAUUUUGAUAAUGCUAGGGUAAUUGGUUAAUUUUUUUUUUCUUUCCCUCCCACCAGCUCCAACCCUCUAUUCUGCUGGGAGAUGCAGAGUCAUAGCUCUGCUGGCUUGGCUUCCUGCCAUCUCACUGCUCCUUUAAAACCCCAUACCUCUCAUUGAAGGAACUCAGUGUCCUGUUCACCAGGAGGACGUCAAUGUUUCUAUGGAAACUCUUCCCAAAGAUUCUUGCUCUGCACUGCCACUGCUGCGUAUUGUAUGACUGGCUUUGUACGCUGCAGUUCAUUAUCCAGGCUGUGACGAAAAGGGAGCAGCUUUCUGCCCAACAGGAAAAAGCAUUAAAGGAAAAAAAAAGACCCAAAACACUAACCCCCCCUGCUCCACCACCUUAAUAUUAAUCAAAUAAGCCACUAAAACCAAAGGUGCUUAAAUCGUUUGGCAUUUGAGUUAUGAUUAGAAUCUGCUUGCCUAUGCUCCUUGCAGUGAAAAAUACCCUUUCCUGAAUAAUUAACUUAGCUGAAGAAGCUUAUAAAUUCUUCGCGAGGUCCUUUUUCCUUCUGAGUAGUGAGAAGAAAAUUUUCCACCCCUCACAAUUGCAAUCCUGAUGAUGGAUGAGUGUCACAUAGGUAACCAAUGUGCCUGAGCAGGAACCCUCUGCAUGAACUGUGUGGAGAACAGGGGAGGCUCAAACUCGGGUUCAGAUUUUGCAUUUUAAUUAAUAUCUGCAAAGGGGAUGCAGAAUUAAUAGGCUGAAGGAAAAUUCACAUUAAUUUCUCAUUUGCCUCAAUAAUAGGAAAUAUCUGGGACCAGAAGAGAACAUGAUGACAAGUGACAUGUUUAUGGACAUGUCCCUUACUAAUGAUGUCCAAAGGUGGCCCAAUUACUCACCCCUCUGCAGAUGAGCUCCAGGUGUUACACACUUGACAGGUGGUGCACUGAAGAAGCUUGGAACCUGAUUUUCUUGACUUCCACUGGAUCACUGAUGGGCUCUCGGCACCUCAAGCAAUCAGAUUUCUGGUGUCCCAAAGCAUGUACCUCAAACCCAAGGUACUCAACUUGUGACACUUGGAGAAAGAUAACUCCUAAACCCAGCAGAACUUUGAGAUCUGAAGAAAAACAUUACUCAUCUGCUAUGCUGGGAACCAGCACUGAGUAAAAACCUGAGUAAAGAUGAGGAUGAGAGGAGACAAGUAUUUUAUUUUUAAACCUUAUGAAUUUCUGAGUAGUUCUGCUUUCCUAGAGAGGAAGGCAGGGUUGGGAAGAUCAGAUUUUCAAACUCUACUCCCUCCCUGAUAGCACACUAAAGACUUGUAUUACCUUUAAUUGAUGUUUCUGAGUGCAUCCUCAUUGAUUUACUCCAGCCGUGCUCUUUAUGCAGGGAACAUUCUAUUCUCAGAGCAUAAUCUAGACCCAUACGAACAAUAUAGAUGUUUCCUGAUAACAUAAUUUAGAAAGAGGAGAUGUAAUUGCUGCCUGUGCUGAAUGCACAGCAUCUCUCUGCUUGCCAGAGCACUGCAAACUCAUGAGCCCUUUUGGAAUCCAUACAGGGAGAAAAGUCCCAAAUCCUUCAAUGUGGUUCUCAUUUUGUCAUUUCCAUCUUAUUAAAUAUGCUGCUCCUUGUGCCUUUGAUUUUAACUUCCUAAGGAUAGCUCAUGCUGAAAUUAUUUAGAAGGCUCUCAGAGGCUUUUAGAUUAAAUUCAGGGAUCAUUCCUACAGAAAUGUGUCUGUUUGUGGGACACAGGACAGCAGCAACUUGGGCAUCUGCUGCGGAAAAAUGGGGAAGGGACCCAGCAAGUUCCUCCUCAGGUAACUUGUUCUUUUAAGAAGUGCAACAAAGCAGGUUCUUGUUAAGGACUUCUCUUAAAUACUUGAAGCAGAGGUUGGAACUCAUCUAACCUGCUCCAAAACCAGUUGGCUUGGCUGUGCAGUCCAAUUGCUGUGAUUUAAAAUGAGUGGUUGCAGUGCUUUUGUCUUCUAAAUCAUCCCAAAAGCACUGUGCUUUACUGUCUUCUCUCUGAUGGAAGGAUAUCCAGGGUGAGACAUUACAAUUCAAAUUUUCAUCUCUAGGGUCAAAUCUGUCUCAGUGCUGUAACACCUGGAAAGCACUGCCAUGCAGUGGGGUUUGAUGUGAAAUAAGCGCAGGUCCCUCCACAGCACAGUCAAUCAAGAUCCACAGCACAGAAAAAUCACCACUGUAAUUGCUCUCUGUAUCAGCUGCCUCAGGAAAAUAUAAAAUAAAAUCAUAAAUAAAUAAAAAUCAAUGACUGGAUUGGCCCUAGAGACUGAGUUACUCUCCUCUGUUUUAGAGAGUGGUCCCUCCUGAGCAGUUUUCCACAUUGCAGAGCCACUGCAUAAUGGAACAAUUCAGUUCCACUGACAGCCCUGGCUAAAAUAGCCCUAGAGCAAGAUAGGGUAGGUGUAGGUCACUGCUAAGACACUUGGGAGGGCUGACAGUGAGAACCAUGCCAACACUAAGAGUUUUUCAAAUUACUUCAGCGAGACCAGACUUAGCUUGCAAGCCUGGUGUGAUUGUGUCAGAGAGAAGCCGUUUUGUAUUUUGGAUUCAUGCUAAUUGGAUAUCAGCUUCUCCCUGUGUUCUGCAGCAGCAUCUUCCCUGGUAACCAUCCAUUAAUGGUCAGGUACAGGUUGGCUCUGGAAUCCAUUGACAGAGGAGAGGGCUCAACUCUCCAACUUGUUUCUUUCCUGAGAUCUGACAGAGCCUGAAUUUAAUUUGCUCUGUGAUCCUGGCUAAAGUCCCUCUGCACAUAAAAAUCAUGUAGUGCUUUAAACUCUUUAAGCAUGGCCCUCAUGGGUCUUUAAACUCUUUAAGCAUUGCCCAGUAGGUCUUAAGAACAAGAAAUACCCAUUACACCUGUUUCUUGUUAUCUGAAUUGGACAUGAGGGGAACAGGAGUUGAGUUCAGCAAGCAUUGGGAUUAAGAACAAGGAGACCACCUUUAUGGAAAAUAACAGCAAGCAAACACGUUGUGAGCAAGCGGAGAACACAAUCAAAGAGGGACCAAUUCACAAAAAUUAUGCUAAAUAUCACUGGUAUUUAGCAUUAAUCUUUUUGUCUUUGUCUUGCUAUGCAUCCUCCCAAAUCUCACUUCUGGUGAGAAUGGACAACCCAGAGGGUUUGACUUAUAACCAGUUCAGGUUAAUUUUGCAGAAUGAUCGUGGGUGAGACUAAACCAUAUAGCUCAUGACAUAACAACAUUAUUCAUGAUAAGAAGCCAAACUGAAGUUCAAUUUGUUCCAAAAAGCACCAUUUCUAAGGCAGAAGAGCAGCCAAAUCAAUGACUGAGAGGAACUAGAGGUGAAAAUUGAGAAAAAGAGAUAUAAAUACACUUACUUUUAAACAUUUUAAUUUCAAGUGACAGAAAAACCAUUCAAUGUGUGUCCUGGGGUUUCUUUAAACAGGGAAAGAAGAUUAAAAUACUAAUCCCUGCUGAUUUCCCUGUGCUGCAGCAAAAAUGAGCAUGGCUCGAAAGACUGACCUGUGAUCAAAGAUUAAGAGCAGCAAAAUUUGUAUAGCUUGGCUAAGCAGCAGCCAUGAGGGACAAUACUGGCAGAGUGCAAAACCAGAGAAAAUGGAGUAUUACUUGGAAAGACAACAAUAUCAGGGGAUGAAAACUAAAGAAAGAUCAGGCAGAAUGGUAAAGUCCCUAAUUUAAGGAAUGAAAGCCAGAACACUCCAAGUAUACAAGGACAAGGAUGAACUAGACACUGGUGUGAGGAUCUUUGGAUGCGACCAGUGACUUUAAGCACUUCUAUUCCUGAGUUUCCAAAGGAAAUCACCUUUAGAAAUGGGACAGCUCAUACUAUAAAUCAUUUCUUCUUAAGCUCAGCACCCAGCAGCCGCCAAUCAGUUCUUAAAAUCUUGAGUGAAAAAUAAACCACAAGGAACAAUCCUGUACUCGGAGGGAAUGGACAAGCUAAUCUAAUACAUCUUUGUCAUCUGUGGUUUCCAUGACAGUUGCAUAAUCAGACAUUUAUGUAAGUAGAGGUUUCCUCCUUAAAUAGCAGCCUAUGAUCUCAUCUGCACCUACGGUAUAACCCAUUUGGAUGGAAACGAUGUGCCAGUCAUGUGUACAACUAAUUUUUUAAUGCUUCUCUCUUAUUUUUGUUUCUUUAUUGUGGAACAUAAGCCUGCAGAGUACUGCUUACAAAUGACUAACUCUUCUUGUUGUGGUCUUCUCAUGGUCCAGAAAUAACUACAGUCCCCAGGUCCAAUUAAUGGCUGGGCUCACACUUGCUCAGCAAUUCAAUGUGGAAAGUGAUGGUGUACCGACAAAUCCCAGUGCAGCACCUAAGCCUUGUAAUGGUGUAUCCACAAACCCCAGCACAGCCUCCUAGAAACACACAAGGGUUUGGAUUAGAAGGGACCUUGAAAACCACCUAGUUCCAAACCCAGGGGUAGGGACACCUUCCACCAGACCAGGUUCUUCAGAGCCACAUUCAACCUGGCUUGGAACAUUUCCAGGGAUGGGACAGCCACACCUCCUCUGGGCAACCUGUGCCAGAGCCCCACCACCCUCACAGGGGAAAAUUUCUUUCUGAUAUCUAAACUAAACCUUCCCUGUGUCAGUUUGAAGUCAUUCUCCCUUGUUCUGCCACUCCCGGCCCUUGUCCAUAGUCCCUCUCCAGGUCUCUGGCACUGGAAGGGGUUCUAAGGUCUCCCCAGAGCCUUCUCUCUUCCACUCUGAACUCCCCCAGCUCUCCCAGCCUGGCCCCAGAGGUGAGAGGCUCCAGCCCUGAUCAUGUCUGUGGCCUCCUCUGGAUCUGCUUCAGCAGGUCCACAUCCUCCUUAUGGUGGGGACCCCAGGGACAAAGUAUUUUGGGUGGGUGAUUCAACAGAGUCACCUUCCUUGACCUGCUGGUGAAGCUUCUUGUGAUGCACCCAAGACAUGGUUGGCUUUUGGGGCUGCCAGUGCAUGUUUAGGGUCAUGUCCAGCAGCCCAAGUCCUUCUCACAGCUGCUCCCACAGCAGCUCUCUUCAAGCUGCUCAGACCUAGAGGUUAUGGGCUGCCCUCAGACCUUGUUGCAAAUUUUCCAGGAAGUUGGGAUUUCCAAGCCAUACUUUUCCCCAAGGGGCUGGGGGGAGGACCGUAGGAGAACUCCAGGGAUUUGUCUUGGACAAUCUGGGAUUUCUCAGGGUUGGAGGAAAGCUCCCAGGACCACUCUACUCCUGCUGCAGAGACUGCCUGGGGACUCCUCUGAACUCAUGCAGAGUAUCCUAAAGCAAUGCCAAAAAUGCAGAUCUCUUCUUAUAUGCCAUAUUAAUUGAAAUUAAGAAAAGCAGACCCAGUCUAUGAAAUCUCACUCCUACUCCCAUCUAAGUUCAUGUAACAAGAGUGAAGGCAAGCAAAAGUAACUGCACUUAAAUCUGCAGGCAGAAAUUCUCAAAAACAUCUAAAAAAAAUCAGCUACCUAGAAGGAGUGACUUUUAUCUAAAGGCUGCAGACAUCAGCAGGCUAGGGAGCUGAUUCCAGUAGGCAAAUAGAUCUUAAUAUGGAUGUCCAGGGGUAUCAGAAACCCUUCAAAAUCUGUCCAGAAGCUGAGAAGUGAGUUGAUCCUGAAAUGUAAGUGGUUCCAUUUAGACCAUCCUCUUAGUGCUUUUUUGCAUUACUCUGCAUCAGCCACUGUGCACAAAAAUAUGCCCCAAAGCAGAGGAAAACAGGCAAGAACAGAAUCCUAAUCCAAUCUGCCAGCCUUCACAGCAUCAAAUUUGUGACACUCUUUCCAGCCUUUGGAUGUUGUAGCACCUUCUCUCAAAGACAUAACUAUUAAAACAACAAGUAUAUUAUGCACUAUUGUUUCCAACAUCAAACAAUCAGCAAAAAUAUCUCCUCUUGCUCUUCAGCCUGAUCUCGCUUCUCCCACUGAAGGUGAUUUAGUGACAAAGAUAGAGAGAAAUAGAGUGGAUUUGGUUUGCGAGUGAUUGUCAAUUGGAUUUUGUGAGCCCAGCGGUAUCUCGGAGUGGGUUUCAAUUUUCCCUGAACCCCCUGCAGCUCCCAUUAGCCUCAAUAACUGCUCCUAAUUUUGGCUAGGACAUUUGCUCAGAUUUUUGAAGGAAGGGAGGUGUGAGGGGUGUCUUUCCCUGGUGCAGAGAGACUCCUGCCUCCAUGCAGCAAACAUGGGCUCGGUAAUGGUUUAAUUACAGCGAGAAUUCCUGCCCUGUCCAGCCAGGCUCUGGCACACGUUACGUAACUGGAUUGUUAAUGCUUUUUAUAUGUUGGUGGAACUGAAAUUAAAUGAGGAAAUUAUUCUCCUGA